rnacentral:rRNA from 1 species
UACGGAGGGAGCUAGCGUUGUUCGGAAUUACUGGGCGUAAAGGGUGCGUAGGUGGUUGUUUAAGUCUGUUGUGAAAGCCCCGGCUCAACCUGGGAAUGGCAAUGGAUACUGGACAGCUAGAGUGCGGUAGAGGGUAGUGGAAUUCCCGGUGUAGCAGUGAAAUGCGUAGAGAUCGGGAGGAACACCAGUGGCGAAGGCGGCUACCUGGACCAGCACUGACGAUCAGGUGCGAAAGCGUGGG